rnacentral:piRNA from 1 species
UNCCCAGGUCUGCCUUCUUCCUAGCC